rnacentral:rRNA from 1 species
UAAUACGUAGGGGGCAAGCGUUGUCCGGAAUUAUUGGGCGUAAAGCGCGCGCAGGCGGCUCUUUAAGUCUGGUGUUUAAUCCCGAGGCUCAACUUCGGGUCGCACUGGAAACUGGGGAGCUUGAGUGCAGAAGAGGAGAGUGGAAUUCCACGUGUAGCGGUGAAAUGCGUAGAUAUGUGGAGGAACACCAGUGGCGAAGGCGACUCUCUGGGCUGUAACUGACGCUGAGGCGCGAAAGCGUGGGGAGCAAACA